UUGUGAGCAAUCCAAUGAUUUAUGAUACACCGAUCACUCUGUAUACAUCCAUUUUUCAAUAAACUUGGUGUUCUCUGAAAUGAAGUUCAAUUUUAAUUAAUACGCUGAGAUAUAAUUGAGUUUGCAUCAUCCAAACCGACCACUCCAAGAAUUAUUCAGUGUCGUGUUAAAGGAGUUUUUCAAUUGAUUUUUUUGACACAUUUCAAAAGCUAUACAGAAAUAAUGGAUUAAUUCAAACAUUUUUGUUAUGAUACAAAAACAAAUUAGUUAACGCAACAAAUGAACAGAAAAAAUAUAAUAAAGGCCAUGCAGUUAACUUUUUAAAUUCAUUUUUACAAAAAAGCAAGUGGCACAUUAAAUCACAGGAUUUUGUGUUUGACCAUAAAAGUAAGUCUAUGAUUUUUUUGAAACAACUAUUAUUAGGUAAAGAAAGUUGUUGUAAAGGUAAUAUCGUCGAUAAAAAAAAUGUUAAUCAAAAAUUAAGAGAAAUAAUGUUACUUAUUAAUCAUGAGUACACAAUAAGCUUAACAUGGAUCGUGAAUCACGUAAGAUACAUUGCUUAUUAUUGUACAGAUAUAAAAGAAUAUGAUAUGUCAGUAGAAGAUCAAAAUCGUUACGCGCAUUGUGUGACUUUAUUAUUACCAAAUAUUGAGGAUUCUAAAAAACUCAUUACACGUUUUAUUAGUGCAAUAAAUUUCCUAAUGAAUUUGUUAAAUAUCAAAACUAACCCAUUUAUUUUAAACGAAUUAAUAAAAUUUGUUGUUUUGAUAAGCAGAGAAAGAAAUGAUAAUGACAAUUUUUAUGUGGACAAAAUUUUUAGUAAGUUCAAUGACGAGUACGGCUGGAUUAAUUCUGAUUUAAACAUAAUUCUUGGAUAUUAUGGUAUUGAUCGCAACUAUAUUAGUAUAAAUAAUUGUGAUGAAGCUCGUAUUUUAUAUAUAAAUAGUAAUGAUUUACCUGAUACGUUUGAAAUGUAUGAAUUUUUAGAAGUUAACUUAAGAGAAGGUAUUAAAGAUAUGAAUAAAACAUUGUAUAUUAAUCUGGGCUUUUUUUAUGACGAAAUAAAUAAUGAAACUUCUUAUGUUCAUGAAUGGGAUAUUGAAAUGAGAAAAAAAAGCUUAUUUUGUUUUUAACUGUUAAAUUGUUAGAGACACUGUGUCAACAAACGACUUUUAAUAUAUGUGAGAUAAAAAAAUAAAAUAAAUGUAUAAAUUAUA